rnacentral:rRNA from 1 species
AUUGAACGCUGGCGGCAGGCCUAACACAUGCAAGUCGAGCGCGCGGCGGACGGGUGAGUAAUGUAUGGGGACUGCCCGAUAGAGGGGGAUAACUCCUGGAAACGGUAGCGCAUACCGCAUACUAUCGGAUUACCCCCAUGGGUUUAGCUAGUAGGUGGGGUAAUGGCUCACCUAGGCGACGAUCCCUAGCUGGUCUGAGAGGAUGAUCAGCAACACUGGAACUGAGACACGGCCCAGACUCCUACGGAGGCAGAAGUGGGGAAUAUUGCACAAUGGGCGCAAGCCUGAUGCAGCCAUGCCGCGUGUAUGAAGAAGGCCCUAGGGUUGUAAAGUACUUUCAGUGGGGAGGCGUUACCGGCAGAAGAAGCACCGGCUAACUCCGUGCCAGCAGCCGCGGUAAUAC